rnacentral:rRNA from 1 species
GACGAACGCUGGCGGCGUGCUUAACACAUGCAAGUCGAACGGAAAGGCCCUGCUUUUGUGGGGUGCUCGAGUGGCGAACGGGUGAGUAACACGUGAGUAACCUGCCCUUGACUUUGGGAUAACUUCAGGAAACUGGGGCUAAUACCGGAUAGGAGCUCCUGCUGCAUGGUGGGGGUUGGAAAGUUUCGGCGGUUGGGGAUGGACUCGCGGCUUAUCAGCUUGUUGGUGGGGUAGUGGCUUACCAAGGCUUUGACGGGUAGCCGGCCUGAGAGGGUGACCGGCCACAUUGGGACUGAGAUACGGCCCAGACUCCUACGGGAGGCAGCGGUGGGGAAUAUUGCACAAUGGGCGGAAGCAUGAUGCAGCAACGCCGCGUGCGGGAUGACGGCCUUCGGGUUGUAAACCGCUUUCGCCUGUGACGAAGCGUGAGUGACGGUAAUGGGUAAAGAAGCACCGGCUAACUACGUG